UACGUAGGGCGCAAGCGUUGUCCGGAAUUAUUGGGCGUAAAGAGCUCGUAGGCGGUUUGUCGCGUCUGCUGUGAAAACCUAAGGCUCAACCUUGGGCUUGCAGUGGGUACGGGCAGACUAGAGUGCGGUAGGGGGUGACUGGAAUUCCUGGUGUAGCGGUGGAAUGCGCAGAUAUCAGGAGGAACACCGAUGGCGAAGGCAGGUCACUGGGCCCGCAA
rnacentral:rRNA from 1 species